UACGUAGGGGGCAAGCGUUAUCCGGAUUUACUGGGUGUAAAGGGAGCGUAGACGGAAUUGCAAGUCUGAUGUGAAAAUCCGGGGCCCAACCCCGGAACUGCAUUGGAAACUGUAUUUCUAGAGUGUCGGAGAGGCAAGUGGAAUUCCUGGUGUAGCGGUGAAAUGCGUAGAUAUCAGGAGGAACACCAGUAGCGAAGGCGGCUUGCUGGACGAUGACUGACGUUGAGGCUCGAAAGCGUGGGGAGCAAACAGG
rnacentral:rRNA from 1 species